GAUGAAGAACGCAGCGAAAUGCGAUAAGUAAUGUGAAUUGCAGAAUACAGUGAAUCAUCGAAUCUUUGAACGCACCUUGCACCCUUUGGCAUUCCGAAGGGUAUGCUCGUUUGAGUGUCAUUGUACUCUCACACUCUCCGAUCCUAUGGAUUCGGGGAGCGGUGGACUUGGGUGUUGCUGCCUUUCCUUGUGGCUCACCUCAAAUGUGUCAGUGCACCUCUUGGUUGGACAUAGUACGGCGUGAUAAGUGUCUUCGCCGGCACCUCGCAAGAGGGUGGCCGAUCGGGAGCUCUGUGCUUUCAAACCGUCUUCGGACAAUUUCUGACAACUUGACCUCAAAUCGAGUAGGACUACCCGCUGAACUUAAGCAUAUCAAUAAGCGGAGGA
rnacentral:misc_RNA from 1 species